AGUGAACGCUGGCGGUAGGCCUAACACAUGCAAGUCGAACGGCAGCACAGUAAGAGCUUGCUCUUACGGGUGGCGAGUGGCGGACGGGUGGGGAAUACAUCGGAAUCUACUUUUUCGUGGGGGAUAACGUAGGGAAACUUACGCUAAUACCGCAUACGACCUACGGGUGAAAGCAGGGGAUCUUCGGACCUUGCGCGAUUGAAUGAGCCGAUGUCGGAUUAGCUAGUUGGCGGGGUAAAGGCCCACCAAGGCGACGAUCCGUAGCUGGUCUGAGAGGAUGAUGAGCCACACUGGAACUGAGAAACGGUCCAGACUCCUACGGGAGGCAGCAGUGGGGAAUAUUGGACAAUGGGCGCAAGCCUGAUCCAGCCAUACCGCGUGGGUGAAGAAGGCCUUCGGGUUGUAAAGCCCUUUUGUUGGGAAAGAAAAGCAGCAGGUUAAUACCCCGCUGUUCUGACGGUACCCAAAGAAUAAGCACCGGCUAACUUCGG
rnacentral:rRNA from 1 species